rnacentral:rRNA from 1 species
CAGUCGCCGCGGUAAUACGUAGGGUGCGAGCGUUAAUCGGAAUUACUGGGCGUAAAGCGUGCGCAGGCGGUUUUGUAAGACAGGCGCGAAAUCCCCGGGCUCAACCUGGGAAUGGCGCUUGUGACUGCAAAGCUAGAGUGCGGCAGAGGGGGAUGGAAUUCCGCGUGUAGCAGUGAAAUGCGUAGAUAUGCGGAGGAACACCGAUGGCGAAGGCAAUCCCCUGGGCCUGCACUGACGCUCAUGCACGAAAGCGUGGGGAGCAAACAGGAUUAGAUACCCGUGUAGUCCCUGUCUCUUAUAC